AUAAGGGCAUGGCUUACGGGCCCGUUUAUGGCCGAGCUGUGGGUCGGCGGCGGUCGCUUGCGACACGUGCUGUGCCAGCAGUUCGGUCCUGGUCGAGCUCCCACAUUGCCUGUUCUCGGUGUAAGAGCUGGUCAUCUCUCCGACCCGUCUUGAAACACGGACCAAGGAGUUUAUCGUGUGCGCGAGUCAUUGGGCGUUGAAAACCCAAAGGCGCAAUGAAAGUGAAGUGCCACGCAAGUGGCUGAUGUGCGAUGUUGUGUUCCACGGAACACAACCGCAGCAUGGCCCCAUCCUGGCUGCUUGCAGCGGGGUGGAGGAAGAGCGUGCGCGAUGAGACCCGAAAGAUGGUGAACUAUUCCUGAGCAGGAUGAAGCCAGAGGAAACUCUGGUGGAAGUCCGAAGCGAUUCUGACUGUGCGAAAUCGAUAGUCUGA
rnacentral:rRNA from 1 species